GUCGUGUGCAACGUCCACGCCGGCACCAAGCAGCUACAGCUGACGCGGUGGGAGAGCAGCCACGGCAACAUCAUCAAGGGGGAAGGGUACCUGGACUUCAUCAUUUGGUGCUGCUUCAAGGAGAAUGACAUUGUCGAGAUCUGGGCCUUCAAGGAGCGCUCCUUCCGCUUGUUCGGCGUCGACAUGUGCCAUGCAAGCCCGCUCUUCGUCGUGCUAACCAAGAAAGAGCAGUGCCCAGCGGUGUCCAUAGGGAUUCGCAAAUGUACGCAGUAG
rnacentral:rRNA from 1 species